AUAAGGUAAGGAUCACUAUAGUAGCUCUGUCAUAAAACAAUUUUCUUGGUACUAAGAAAGUAGUAAUAGUCCAACGCUAGAGCAAAAGUAUCCCUGAAAUGAAAUACAUAGUCGUAACACUCAUCGCCUUAGCACUUUGCUACAAUGCGUCUGCCCAAUAUCCUUGCGAUCCCUAUGGUAGGAACCCCGAAUGUGAUUGUGGAGAAAUUGGCGAAAUAUACUGGACGGAAUCGGCGAGAAUUUGCGAAUUUAGGUGUAGGGACAUGUACGGCAGGAUAUAUACGUGCGAGGAAAUAGAAGUAAUGUAGAGACUACGGCACGAUCGUAGUAAUAUUAAGUACCACUCUGUCACAUACGCAGACCGUUUAAAUAUUUUGAUUUUAAACCAAUGCCUGUUUGCGCCUCACAAUUCAAAACUUAAUUGAGAAAUACAAUCGCACUAUUCCAUG